rnacentral:pre_miRNA from 1 species
AAAAUACUCCCUCCGUCCGGAAAUACUUUUCAUCAAAAUGAAUAAAAGGGGAUGUAUCUAGAUGUAUUUUAGUUCUAGAUACAUCUCUUUUUAUCCAUUUUGAUGACAAGUAUUUUCGGACGGAGGGAGUAUGUC